rnacentral:misc_RNA from 1 species
UUUCCGUAGGUGAACCUGCGGAAGGAUCAUUACUGACUUUUGAAACUUCAUGAUCCUGUUUGCACGCCUCCUAAGCCGUGGGCACGCUUGUUGGCCCUUAUUUCUACCACUCUGCCCCAAUUGUAGACCUCUCAGUGGGCCUAUGUUGUUUUUCACAACCUCUGACUGUAAUAGAAUGGUUUUAAAUCUUGGUAAUUACUAAACAAAUUCCAGCAACGAAGCUCUUGGCUCUCCCAGCGAUGAAGAACGCAGCAGGUCGGCGGAGGACACCUCUGAACU